rnacentral:rRNA from 1 species
AGCGAACGCUGGCGGCAGGCCUAACACAUGCAAGUCGAACGAACUCUUCCGAGUUAGUGGCGGACGGGUGAGUAACACGUGGGAACGUGCCCUUUGGUACGGAAUAACUCCGGGAAACUUGAGCUAAUACCGUAUGUGCCUUUCGGGGGAAAGAUUUAUCGCCAUUGGAGCGGCCCGCGUCUGAUUAGCUAGUUGGGAGGGUAACGGCUCAACGGGGCGACGAUCAGUAGCAGGUCUGAGAGGAUGACCAGCGACAUUGGGACUGAGAAACGGCCCAAACUCCUGCGGGAGGCAGCAGUGGGGGAUCUUGCGCAAUGGGCGAAAGCCUGACGCAGCCAUGCCGCGUGGAUGAUGAAGGUCUUAGGAUUGUAAAAUCCUUUCACCGGUGAAGAUAAUGACUGUAGCCGGAGAAGAAGCCCCGGCUAACUUCGUGCCAGCCGCCGCGGUAACAC